rnacentral:lncRNA from 1 species
AAUUGAGCUGUUCAGAAUGUGUGAAACAAUUUUAAGGUGAAGUCAAAGAUACUUGAAGCAGAAGCUGUAUCUGAGGAAGCUGUAUAUAAACCCAAUUUAAAGCAAGUUUAACCUGCUGAUUGGGAAGAAUUUUUAUGAAAAGCUGUGUGCUUCCUGAUAAGAAAAAAGGCUUUCCUGUUUCGAUCAAACCAGAACCAGAUGAGAACUCAGCACAGGCACUGCAGCCACGGAGGUUUCCAGAUA